rnacentral:rRNA from 1 species
UACAGAGGUCUCAAGCGUUUGUUCGGAUUCAUUGGGCGUAAAGGGUGCGUAGGCGGCGCGGUAAGUCGGGUGUGAAAUCUUGGAGCUUAACUCCGAAACUGCAUUCGAUACUGGCGUGCUUGAGGACUGGAGAGGAGACUGGAAUUCAUGGUGUAGCAGUGAAAUGCGUAGAGAUCAUGAGGAAGACCAGUGGCGAAGGCGGGUCUCUGGACAGUUCCUGACACUGAGACACGAAGGCCAGGGGAGCAAACGGG